rnacentral:rRNA from 1 species
AGCGUGCGCAGGCGGUUUUGUAAGACUGUCGUGAAAUCCCCGGGCUCAACCUGGGAAUGGCGAUGGUGACUGCAAGGCUAGAGUUUGGCAGAGGGGGGUAGAAUUCCACGUGUAGCAGUGAAAUGCGUAGAUAUGUGGAGGAACACCGAUGGCGAAGGCACGCCCCCGUGGGUACAAAACUGACGCUCAUGCACGAAGCGUGGGGAGCAAACAGGAUUAGAUACCCGUGU